rfam:Pythium ultimum DAOM BR144 ctg_1117875579296, whole genome shotgun sequence.
AUACUUACCUGACUGGUGUUUGAUCACGAUCAAUGAGGUGAUUAACAUGAGCCGGAGCAGGCCCCUUACACGCUGGUGCUGUAAUGGUUCAGGAAUGCUCUUAUGAGUAACUCCACAGUAUAAUUUUUGUUAGCGGGGGUGAGCGCGUGCGCCGCCCCCAC